rnacentral:rRNA from 1 species
UACGGGGGGGGCAAGCGUUGUUCGGAAUUACUGGGCGUAAAGGGCGCGUAGGCGGUGCUCUAAGUUAGAUGUGAAAACUCUGGGCUCAACCCAGAGCCUGCAUCUAAAACUGGAGUGCUAGAGUUCUGGAGGGGGUAGCGGAAUUCCUGGUGUAGCGGUGAAAUGCGUAGAUAUCAGGAGGAACACCUGUGGCGAAAGCGGCUCACUGGACCACAACUGACGCUGAUGCGCGAAAGCUAGGGGAGCAAACAGG